rnacentral:rRNA from 1 species
CGUGUAGGCGGCCUCGUUAGUCCGCUGUGAAAGUCCAGGGCUCAACCCUGGAAUGCCGGUGGAUACUGCGAGGCUAGAGUCCGGAAGGGGCGAGUGGAAUUCCUGGUGUAGCGGUGAAAUGCGCAGAUAUCAGGAGGAACACCAAUGGCGAAGGCAGCUCGCUGGGACGUGACUGACGCUGAGACGCGAAAGCGUGGGGAGCAAACAGGAUUAGAUACCCUGGUAGUCCACGCUGUAAACGAUGGCAACUAGAUGUGGGGGGUGUCGACUCCCCCCGUGUCGAAGCUAACGCAUUAAGUUGCCCGCCUGGGGAGUACGGCCGCAAGGCUAAA